GAUUGCCUCAGUAACGGCGAGUGAAGCGGCAACAGCUCAAAUUUGAAAUCUGGCCUCUUUGGGGUCCGAGUUGUAAUUUGUAGAGGAUGUUUCGGGUACCGCUCCGGUUUAAAUUUCUUGGAACAGAAUGUCAGAGAGGGUGAGAAUCCCGUCUUGGACCGGUGGUAGGACCUAUGUGAAACUCCUUCGACGAGUCGAGUUGUUUGGGAAUGCAGCUCAAAAUGGGUGGUAAAUUUCAUCUAAAGCUAAAUAUUGGCCAGAGACCGAUAGCGCACAAGUAGAGUGAUCGAAAGAUGAAAAGCACUUUGAAAAGAGAGUUAAACAGUAUGUGAAAUUGUUGAAAGGGAAGCGCUUACAACCAGACUUGAGCGCGACGGUUCCCCCUUCCUUUUGGUUGGGUUACUCCGUCGUGUCCAGGCCAACAUCGGUUUCGGGGGUUGGUUAAAGGCGCCUUGAAUGUAUCUACCCUUCGGGCGUAGACUUAUAGCUCGGCGUGUCAUGCGACCUCCCGGGACCGAGGAACGCGCUUCGGCUCGGAUGUUGGCGUAAUGGUUGUCAGCGACCCGUCUUGAAACACGGACCAAGGAGUCUAACAUCUAUGCGAGUGUUUGGGUGUCAAACCCGGAACGCGAAAUGAAAGUGAACGGAGGUAGGAAGCCUUAGGCUGCACUAUCGACCGAUCCUGAUGUCUUCGGAUGGAUUUGAGUAAGAGCAUAGCUGUUGGGACCCGAAAGAUGGUGAACUAUGCCUGAAUAGGGUGAAGCCAGAGGAAACUCUGGUGGAGGCUCGCAGCGGUUCUGACGUGCAAAUCGAUCGUCAAAUUUGGGUAUAGGGGCGAAAGACUAAUCGAACCAUCUGGUAGCUGGUUCCUGCCGAAGUUUCCCUCAGGAUAGCAGUAACGUUUUCAGUUUUAUGAGGUAAAGCGAAUGAUUAGAGGCCUUGGGGUUGUAACAACCUUAACCUAUUCUCAAACUUUAAAUAUGUAAGAAGUCCUUGUUACUUAAUUGAACGUGGACAUUUGAAUGUAUCGUUACUAGUGGGCCAUUUUUGGUAAGCAGAACUGGCGAUGCGGGAUGAACCGAACGUGAGGUUAAGGUGCCGGAAUGUACGCUCAUCAGACACCACAAAAGGUGUCAAUGCAUCUAGACAGCCGGACGGUGGCCAUGGAAGUCGGAAUCCGCUUAGGAGUGUGUAACAACUCACCGGCCGAAUGCAUUGGCCCUGAAAAUGGAUGGCGCUUAAGCGUGCUACCUAUACCUCGCCGUCAGGGUUGACAUGAUGCCCUGACGAGUAGGCAGGCGUGGAGGUCCGUGACGAAGC
rnacentral:rRNA from 1 species